GCUGAUGCGUUGUUGGGUAGGGGAGCGUUCUGUAAGCCUGCGAAGGUGACCUGUGAGGGUUGCUGGAGGUAUCAGAAGUGCGAAUGCUGACAUAAGUAACGAUAAAGCGGGUGAAAAGCCCGCUCGCCGGAAGACCAAGGGUUCCUGUCCAACGUUAAUCGGGGCAGGGUGAGUCGACCCCUAAGGCGAGGCCGAAAGGCGUAGUCGAUGGGAAACGGGUUAAUAUUCCCGUACUUGGUGUUACUGCGAAGGGGGGACGGAGAAGGCUAUGUUGGCCGGGCGACGGUUGUCCCGGUUUAAGCGUGUAGGUGUGUGUUCCAGGUAAAUCCGGUUCACUUUAACACUGAGGCGUGAUGACGAGGCACUACGGUGCUGAAGCAACAAAUGCCCUGCUUCCAGGAAAAGCCUCUAAGCAUCAGGUAACAUCAAAUCGUACCCCAAACCGACACAGGUGGUCAGGUAGAGAAUACCAAGGCGCUUGAGAGAACUCGGGUGAAGGAACUAGGCAAAAUGGUGCCGUAACUUCGGGAGAAGGCACGCUGACACGUAGGUGAAGUGAUUUACUCACGGAGCUGAAGUCAGUCGAAGAUACCAGCUGGCUGCAACUGUUUAUUAAAAACACAGCACUGUGCAAACACGAAAGUGGACGUAUACGGUGUGACGCCUGCCCGGUGCCGGAAGGUUAAUUGAUGAGGUCAGCGCAAGCGAAGCUCCUGAUCGAAGCCCCGGUAAACGGCGGCCGUAACUAUAACGGUCCUAAGGUAGCGAAAUUCCUUGUCGGGUAAGUUCCGACCUGCACGAAUGGCGUAAUGAUGGCCAGGCUGUCUCCACCCGAGACUCAGUGAAAUUGAACUCGCUGUGAAGAUGCAGUGUACCCGCGGCAAGACGGAAAGACCCCGUGAACCUUUACUAUAGCUUGACACUGAACAUUGAGCCUUGAUGUGUAGGAUAGGUGGGAGGCUUUGAAGUGUGGACGCCAGUCUGCAUGGAGCCGACCUUGAAAUACCACCCUUUAAUGUUUGAUGUUCUAACGUGGACCCGUAAUCCGGGUUGCGGACAGUGUCUGGUGGGUAGUUUGACUGGGGCGGUCUCCUCCUAAAGAGUAACGGAGGAGCACGAAGGUUGGCUAAUCCUGGUCGGACAUCAGGAGGUUAGUGCAAUGGCAUAAGCCAGCUUGACUGCGAGCGUGACGGCGCGAGCAGGUGCGAAAGCAGGUCAUAGUGAUCCGGUGGUUCUGAAUGGAAGGGCCAUCGCUCAACGGAUAAAAGGUACUCCGGGGAUAACAGGCUGAUACCGCCCAAGAGUUCAUAUCGACGGCGGUGUUUGGCACCUCGAUGUCGGCUCAUCACAUCCUGGGGCUGAAGUAGGUCCCAAGGGUAUGGCUGUUCGCCAUUUAAAGUGGUACGCGAGCUGGGUUUAGAACGUCGUGAGACAGUUCGGUCCCUAUCUGCCGUGGGCGCUGGAGAACUGAGGGGGGCUGCUCCUAGUACGAGAGGACCGGAGUG
rnacentral:rRNA from 1 species